rnacentral:rRNA from 1 species
AUUGAACGCUGGCGGCAUGCUUUACACAUGCAAGUCGAACGGUAACAGGGUGCUUGCACCGCUGACGAGUGGCGAACGGGUGAGUAAUGCGUCGGAACGUGCCGAGUAGCGGGGGAUAACGCAGCGAAAGUUGUGCUAAUACCGCAUACGUACUGAGGUAGAAAGUGGGGGACCUUCGGGCCUCACGCUAUUCGAGCGGCCGGCGUCUGAUUAGCUAGUAGGUGAGGCAAAGGCUCACCUAGGCGACGAUCAGUAGCGGGUCUGAGAGGAUGAUCCGCCACACUGGGACUGAGACACGGCCCAGACUCCUACGGGAGGCAGCAGUGGGGAAUUUUGGACAAUGGGCGAAAGCCUGAUCCAGCCAUGCCGCGUGUCUGAAGAAGGCCUUCGGGUUGUAAAGGACUUUUGUCAGGGAGGAAAUCCCUAGUGCUAAUAACACUGGGGGAUGACAGUACCUGAAGAAUAAGCACCGGCUAACUACGUGCCAGCAGCCGCAGUAACAC